rnacentral:rRNA from 1 species
GAGCUCGUAGGCGGUUUGUCGCGUCUGCUGUGAAAUCCCGAGGCUCAACCUCGGGCCUGCAGUGGGUACGGGCAGACUAGAGUGCGGUAGGGGAGAUUGGAAUUCCUGGUGUAGCGGUGGAAUGCGCAGAUAUCAGGAGGAACACCGAUGGCGAAGGCAGAUCUCUGGGCCGUAACUGACGCUGAGGAGCGAAAGGGUGGGGAGCAAACAGGCUUAGAUACCCUGGUAGUCCACCCCGUAAACGUUGGGAACUAGUUGUGGGGUCCAUUCCACGGAUUCCGUGACGCAGCUAACGCAUUAAGUUCCCCGCCUGGGGAGUACGGCCGCAAGGCUAAAACUCAAAGGAAUUGACGGGGACCCGCACAAGCGGCGGAGCAUGCGGAUUAAUUCGAUGCAACGCGAAGAACCUUACCAAGGCUUGACAUAUUCGAGAACGCCGUAGAAAUACGGAACUCUUUGGACACUCGUUUACAGGUGGUGCAUGGUUGUCGUCAGCUCGUGUCGUGAGAUGUUGGGUUAAGUCCCGCAACGAGCGCAACCCUCGUUCUAUGUUGCCAGCACGUAAUGGUGGGAACUCAUGGGAUACUGCCGGGGUCAACUCGGAGGAAGGUGGGGAUGACGUCAAAUCAUCAUGCCCCUUAUGUCUUGGGCUUCACGCAUGCUACAAUGGCCGGUACAAAGGGCUGCAAUACCGUGAGGUGGAGCGAAUCCCAAAAAGCCGGUCCCAGUUCGGAUUGAGGUCUGCAACUCGACCUCAUGAAGUCGGAGUCGCUAGUAAUCGCAGAUCAGCAACGCUGCGGUGAAUACGUUCCCGGGUCUUGUACACACCGCCC